rnacentral:tRNA from 1 species
GGCAAGAUGGCCGAGUGGUCUAAGGCGCUGUGUUUAGGUUAUGAGCAUUCGCUUGAACCGUUAAUUUGAUCCGCAGUCUUCGGGCGUGGGUUCGAAUCCCACUCUUGUCA